rnacentral:rRNA from 1 species
UAAGCGGAGGAAAAGAAACUAACAAGGAUUCCCCUAGUAACUGCGAGUGAAGCGGGAAAAGCUCAAAUUUAAAAUCUGGUGGUCUUUGGCCAUCCGAGUUGUAAUUUAGAGAAGUGUCUUCCGCGCUGGACCGUGCACAAGUCUCCUGGAAUGGAGCGUCAUAGAGGGUGAGAAUCCCGUCUUUGGCACGGACACACCAGGGCUUUUGUGAUACACUCUCGAAGAGUCGAGUUGUUUGGGAAUGCAGCUCAAAAUAGGUGGUGAACUCCAUCUAAAGCUAAAUAUUGGCGAGAGACCGAUAGCGAACAAGUACCGUGAGGGAAAGAUGAAAAGCACUUUGGAAAGAGAGUGAAACAGUACGUGAAAUUGUUGAAAGGGAAACGCUUGAAGUCAGUCACGUUAACCGAGACUCAGCCUCGCCUUGGCUUGGUGUACUUCUUGGCUAACGGGUCAGCAUCAAUUUUGCCCCUUGGAUAAUGGUAAGGGAAAUGUGACACCUUUAUGGUGUGUUAUAGUCUCUUGUCGCAUGCAAGGGUUGGGAUUGAGGAACUCAGUACGCACCUUUGGGUGUCGGGGCUUUGCCUACGAUACCUGCUUAGGAUGUUGGCAUAAUGGCUUUAAACGACC